GGAGAGAUGGGUGAGUGGCUGAAACCACCGGUUUGCUAAACCGACGUACGGGGCAACCCGUACCACGAGUUCGAAUCUCGUUCUCUCCG
rfam:Alistipes sp. An116 An116_contig_14, whole genome shotgun sequence.